AUUUUAAUUCAUUGAAAUAUUUUAUGCUCUUAUUGAAUUUCCUUAAUGUUCUCAAUGCAUUUUGCCUUAAAUUUGUGCAAAAGAUACCUGUUUUAUAACAAAAAACUUAAAUGCAAAACUCUGUGGCGAUAUUUUUCAACCCUCGAACCAGUAGUGUAAACUAUUUUUCCAUAGGAAUCCGCUAUACGCGAAAAUUCGAGAUACGCUAUUGCGCUCGGUCCCGUACGAUAGCGUAUAUCGGAUAAUGACUGUAUAGAGAAUUCGGAGGGGGGAGGGGGCGGUAGAACAGAACGUAAGCGUGAGUCGUCGCGUGUGUGUGUGUGUGGUACGCUCGAGAACUCUUUUUUUAUAUUUCCUGGAACCCAUAUGUUCUACAUUUUUCUGACUCUAAGCAAUCAAAGUAAAACGGGAAGUAGAAGCUACUUCACGAGCUACUCUUUUCGCUACUUUUCAGCGUAGUCCCCCCCCCCCCCUGCGUAGCACGGAUCCCCCUAGAUCUCCGGGGCCUCUGGCAGCCGUCCAGAGCCGCUGGGUACAGCUGGGGCAGAUCCACGAGAAUUGCGACGCAUUAGUUCAAGCAUGGAACCUACACCAAGGCAUGGCAGGGCGCACGUAGGAAUCCACCAACACUGUUAAAAAUGGAAUCAUACGAUGCAGGUUUCCAAGUUGAGCAGGAAAACCUCAGAUGCAGCAAACACAAGACACCAUUGGCGUAGAAAGUAUACGAAAAACGUUGCACUGCGUAUCACAAGUACAGUAAGAUCACAAUAACUCGACACCGGGUUUGCAAGCGAUCAGGGAAGUACAACAACACAAAAAUCCGGCACAAACGCAAUGCCGAAAGUAAUGAGGGCCUUACGCACGAGCUGUCAAAAAGUUCUAUGAGCCUGGUGUUCAUAUAAUUGGUGAGUCAAUAAUCAAGCCAGUUUUGUAAUUCACCCCUAUAUAAACAUUAUUUAAUCAAUAUAAAGUAAAUCAAAUAAAUCAAAAAGGUAGAGCCAUACGAACUUAUCAUAGUACUGACUCGUUUCGCAUAAAGUCCUAAAUCAACCGUGGGAGAUUUUGAAACUCUUUCAACACAGAUAACAGUCCGUAUUACAUUAGUUUACAUUGCUCCAACAGAAAAUAUAAAGGCUCCUAAUGAUUUUUUUUUCUAAAUUGAUCGAACAAUAUUGCCACUAUGUCGUAUUAAAAUUAUGCAAAUUAUGACCAAAGGGUAAAUAACAGUUUUAUUUUUCACAUACCAUGGCUUCCAGUUAUCUGGUAGUGGAUGAAGUAAUCCUUGACGUGCAAGAUAUAUUAUGCUAGUCUCUUUUUCUGGGUCUAUGCCGAUUUUUACAGCAUAUUCAAUUAUUUCUGUCAUUUCAAUUUGUACGCCAUACCGAGACAGACAUUGGCAAGGAUAUGGAAAUAAAGAAACAAUACAUUUUAGAAUAUUUACAAUAAUACGCUAUUUUUAAAUGUGGUAAAAAAUACUAAGCAAUCCAAAAAUAUCUAUUUUUUAGCUAGCAUCCACAUUGGGUAUAUAAAAUUGUCUCCUACCUUCAUUGGUUGGUUCAUAAGUAGAAUAGAAUAUUUCUCCUUCCCCUUGCGUAGAUCCAAUGAUGUAUGAAGAAGUACUCAUGGUUAUAUCAACAUAUAACUAAAAUAUCGGCUCUUAACAAAUUACUUCAUCAAUUACAUCACUCUAUAUCAUGCUCAAUCAACUCAAACUAAAAACUUUAUUACUUGAGUCCUAUGAUUAUUCUAUAAAAUAGUUUGUCUAGUUGAUAUAAAACACGGCCACCAAAAACAAAUAGCGCAGAUGUAUGAAAA